UGCAGUCGAACGAGGUCCAAGGUGUAGCAAUACACUGGACGAUCUAGUGGCGAACGGGUGCGUAACACGUGAGGAACUUGUCCCGGUCUCUGGGAUAACAGUUGGAAACGACUGCUAAUACCGGAUGACGUCGGAGCGUCGCAUGGCGCGCUGACGAAAGGGUUACUGGAUCGGGAGAGCCUCGCGGCCUAUCAGCUUGUUGGUGGGGUAACGGCCUACCAAGGCAUCGACGGGUAGCUGGUCUGAGAGGAUGAUCAGCCACACUGGGACUGAGACACGGCCCAGACUCCUACGGGAGGCAGCAGUGGGGAAUCUUGCGCAAUGGGCGAAAGCCUGACGCAGCAACGCCGCGUGCGGGAAGAAGGCUCUCGGGUUGUAAACCGCUUUCAGCAGGAACGAAAAUGACGGUACUUGCAGAAGAAGGUGCGGCCAACUACGUGCCAGCAGCCGCGGUGACACGUAGGCACCAAGCGUUGUCCGGAUUUAUUGGGCGUAAAGCGCUCGUAGGCGGUUCGGUAAGUCAGGUGUGAAAACUUUGGGCUUAACCCAAAGCCUGCAUCUGAUACUGCCGUGACUAGAGUUCGGUAGGGGAGUGGGGAAUUCCUAGUGUAGCGGUGAAAUGCGCAGAUAUUANGAGGAACACCGGUGGCGAAGGCGCCACUCUGGGGCCGAUACUGACGCUGANGAGCGAAAGCGUGGGUAGCAAACAGGAUUAGAUACCCUGGUAGUCCACGCCGUAAACGUUGGGCACUAGGUGUGGGUUUCAACCAACGAAAUCCGCGCCGUCGCUAACGCAUUAAGUGCCCCGCCUGGGGGAGUACGNNGCAAGGGUAAAACUCAAAGGAAUUGACGG
rnacentral:rRNA from 1 species